CAGUCGCCGCGGUAAUACAGAGGGUGCGAGCGUUAAUCGGAUUUACUGGGCGUAAAGCGUGCGUAGGCGGCUUCUUAAGUCGGAUGUGAAAUCCCUGAGCUUAACUUAGGAAUUGCAUUCGAUACUGGGAAGCUAGAGUAUGGGAGAGGAUGGUAGAAUUCCAGGUGUAGCGGUGAAAUGCGUAGAGAUCUGGAGGAAUACCGAUGGCGAAGGCAGCCAUCUGGCCUAAUACUGACGCUGAUGAGCGAAAGCGUGGGGAGCGAACAGGAUUAGAUACCCGGGUAGUCCCUGUCUCUUAUAC
rnacentral:rRNA from 1 species